rnacentral:rRNA from 1 species
UACGUAGGGGGCAAGCGUUGUCCGGAUUUAUUGGGCGUAAAGAGCGUGUAGGCGGCCUGACAGGUCUGCUGUGAAAACUCGAGGCUCAACCUCGAGAUGUCGGCGGAAACCGUCUGGCUAGAGUCCGGAAGAGGAGAGUGGAAUUCCUGGUGUAGCGGUGAAAUGCGCAGAUAUCAGGAAGAACACCUAUGGCGAAGGCAGCUCUCUGGGACGGUACUGACGCUGAGGAGCGAAAGCGUGGGGAGCGAACAGG